UAUAAAGUUGACAGAUAUAUGUGAAUAAUUUAGGAUUAUUUUAUAAAAGUUUAGCUUUUACUUUAUAA
rnacentral:tRNA from 1 species